UACGUAGGGACCUGGCGAUGUCCGGAAUCAUUGGGCGUAAGGCGCGUGUAGGCGGCUUGCCAAGGCCGGUGUGAAAACUGGGGGCUUAACUCCCAGCCUGCACUGGAAACUGGCUUGCUAGAGUCCGGAAGAGGAGACUGGAAUUCCUGGUGUAGCGGUGAAAUGCGCAGAUAUCAGGAAGAACACCUGUGGCGAAGGCGGGUCUCUGGGACGGUACUGACGCUGAGACGAGAAAGCGUGGGGAGCAAACAGG
rnacentral:rRNA from 1 species